rnacentral:tRNA from 1 species
CUUGUGGCUCAGUUGUUAGAGCAUGGCGCUUGCAACGCUAAGGUUGUGGAAUCAAUUCCCACUGAG